GAUGAACGCUGGCGGCGUGCCUAAUACAUGCAAGUCGAGCGAACAGACGAGGAGCUUGCUCCUCUGACGUUAGCGGCGGACGGGUGAGUAACACGUGGAUAACCUACCUAUAAGACUGGGAUAACUUCGGGAAACCGGAGCUAAUACCGGAUAAUAUAUUGAACCGCAUGGUUCAAUAGUGAAAGACGGUUUUGCUGUCACUUAUAGAUGGAUCCGCGCUGCAUUAGCUAGUUGGUAAGGUAACGGCUUACCAAGGCAACGAUGCGUAGCCGACCUGAGAGGGUGGUCGGCCACCCUGGAACUGAGACACGGUCCAGACUCCUACGGGAGGCAGCAGUAGGGAAUCUUCCGCAAUGGGCGAAAGCCUGACGGAGCAACGCCGCGUGAGUGAUGAAGGUCUUCGGAUCGUAAAACUCUGUUAUUAGGGAAGAACAAAUGUGUACGUAACUAUGCACGUCUUGACGGUACCUAAUCAGAAAGCCACGGCUAACUACGUG
rnacentral:rRNA from 1 species